rnacentral:piRNA from 1 species
GGCAAAACCAGACCUUCAUGAGGGUUGAAC